rnacentral:lncRNA from 1 species
AAGCAGUCAAAGAUUUUGUACAAUCUUGUGAUAUUUGCUCGAGAUCAAAAAUUCCUCGUCAUCAACCUUACGAUGUCGUAAUACGUGAAGUCUUGCUUGAGAAUGCUCUGAGCACCUAGCUGUGGAAGAAAGAAUGGAAAUUGCAACAACAAAAUCCUAAUUCUAAAAGAAUACUAAUUAAACUCUAAUUGGAUCAUAAUAAUACUAAAUAAGCUUCAAUCAAAUUCAAAAAAACCUCAAGAAAUUUCAAACAAAUAAUAAGAAUUCUUAAAGAAAUAUUAGAAGGAUCACAAAUAUCACUCAAAUAUAUCUCAAUUCAAUCUUAAUUUAAUUCUAGUUAAAAUCCUAUUGAACUUCAUUCAAACUUUAGGCCAAACCUAAUUAAAUCUUAAAUCCUAAUAAAAUCCUAAACCCUAAAUCAAACCCUAAAUAAAUCUUAAACUAAAUCUCAACCAAAUCCUAAACCAAAUCCUAAUCAAAUCCUAAAUCAAACCCUAAAUCCUAAAUCAAAUCCUAAUCAAAUCCUAAUCCAAAUCCUAAAUCCUAAACCAAAUUCUAAUCCAAACCCUAAAUAAAAUCCUAAUCAAAUCCUUAAACCAAAUCCUAAAUCAAACCCUAAACAAACCUUAAACCAAACUCCAAUCAAAUCCUAAAUUAAACCCUAACUAAACCGUAAACCAAAUCCUAAUACAAAUUUUAAAUUUUAAACCAAAUCCUAAUCAAAUCCUAA